rnacentral:rRNA from 1 species
UACGGAGGGUGCAAGCGUUGUCCGGAUUUAUUGGGUUUAAAGGGUGCGUAGGUGGCCGGGUAAGUCCGGGGUGAAAGCCCACAGCUCAACUGUGGAACUGCCCUGGAUACUGCUCGGCUUGAGGGUAGACGAGGUUGGCGGAAUAGAAGGUGUAGCGGUGAAAUGCAUAGAUACCUUCUAGAACCCCGAUUGCGUAGGCAGCUGACUAGGCUGCACCUGACACUGAGGCACGAAAGCGUGGGGAGCGAACAGG